GAUGAACGCUGGCGGCGUGCCUAAUACAUGCAAGUCGAGCGAACAGAUGAGGAGCUUGCUCCUCUGACGUUAGCGGCGGACGGGUGAGUAACACGUGGAUAACCUACCUAUAAGACUGGGAUAACUUCGGGAAACCGGAGCUAAUACCGGAUAAUAUAUUGAACCGCAUGGUUCAAUAGUGAAAGACGGUUUUGCUGUCACUUAUAGAUGGAUCCGCGCCGCAUUAGCUAGUUGGUAAGGUAACGGCUUACCAAGGCAACGAUGCGUAGCCGACCUGAGAGGGUGAUCGGCCACACUGGAACUGAGACACGGUCCAGACUCCUACGGGAGGCAGCAGUAGGGAAUCUUCCUCAAUGGGCGAAAGCUUGACGGAGCAACGCCGCGUGAGUGAUGAAGGUCUUCGGAUCGUAAAACUCUGUUAUUAGGGAAGAACAAAUGUGUAAGUAACUAUGCACGUCUUGACGGUACCUAAUCAGAAAGCCACGGCUAACUACGUG
rnacentral:rRNA from 1 species